AGCGAACGCUGGCGGCAGGCCUAACACAUGCAAGUCGAACGAACCCUUCGGGGUUAGUGGCGGACGGGUGAGUAACACGUGGGAACGUGCCUUUAGGUUCGGAAUAACUCAGGGGACCUUGUGCUAAUACCGAAUGUGCCCUUCGGGGGAAAGAUUUAUCGCCUUUAGAGCGGCCCGCGUCUGAUUAGCUAGUUGGUGAGGUAAUGGCUCACCAAGGCUACGAUCAGUAGCUGGUCUGAGAGGAUGACCAGCCACAUUGGGACUGAGACACGGCCCAAACUCCUACGGGAGGCAGCAGUGGGGAAUCUUGCGCAAUGGGCGAAAGCCUGACGCAGCCAUGCCGCGUGGAUGAUGAAGGUCUUAGGAUUGUAAAAUCCUUUCACCGGUGAAGAUAAUGACUGUAGCCGGAGAAGAAGCCCCGGCUAACUUCGUGCCAGCCGCCGCUGUAAGAC
rnacentral:rRNA from 1 species